ensembl:lncRNA
AUCUCUAUCUGAAGAUUGCUCCUCUUAGAGUCCUUCUGUGAGCCCAGGACAUGGGAAGGUGAGGGGGUAGCACCGAAGGGAGCAUUUUAAGUUCAAGAUCUUCUGGCUCUCACUGUUUGUUCUGAUUUGAGUGCUUAAAUAAAAGCAACUAGCAACCUGGGAAGUGAUUUCUGUCAUCCUGCUGUUCAAACCAGCCUGUGGCAUCAGGAAGAAACCCAAGGAAAUACUUGACACAGGAUGUUAGGUCAACCCUGAAGCUCUUUCUGAGUGCAAUGGAAAAACUUCUUGUAGGCUCUGCACCCAAAUUAUUAAAUGAGUUGUAAACCAUGCUGCUUAUACAUGAGCUUGUGCCAAGCUGCUCUGAGCUGCAGUCUCUCUGAUUUCAGAUACUACAUGGUCAACUUCUGAGGGUCCUGCAUUUGCCCGAAUCCCUAUGAAGGUAUGACUUCAAAGAAGACUCACUGUACAAAGGGUCUACGACUACUGUACAGUAAUUAGUGGGAAGACACAUUUGCAAAAAUACAACCCACAAAUUUCAAAGCAGAGAUAAGAAAUAAGUGUGAAGCCAUGAAGUUUCUACUUUGAUAUUUUUGCAAUUUAUACAUUUUGUAACACUACCGAGGCUGAGAUUUGUCCAUUUAAAAUAUAUUUUUCAUUUAGGAAAAAGUGUACUAGAUAACACUAAUCAUCUCUGUCUUAAAAUCAAUCUGUUAGUUUUGAUUAACAAGCUAUCAGGCUUUCAUUUUCUUCGAAUGAUUAUUGGCAUAUAAAGAUAGCGUCUGAUUGUUAGUUAGCCAAGUAUUACUUACCAUGUUUGUUUUAAUGUUUUGUCAGCUUGCAUUUUCUGCAGAUCCCGUAUUUUUUUCUCUUAUGUGUGUUCCAUUUUGCAUAGAAUCUGUAAAGCAAAGUCAAAGGAAAUUUAUUGUUAAUAGCAAAUAAAGGUAAAUAUCACUAUGGU